rnacentral:rRNA from 1 species
GACGAACGCUGGCGGCGUGCUUAACACAUGCAAGUCGAACGGAAAGGCCCUGCUUUUGUGGGGUGCUCGAGUGGCGAACGGGUGAGUAACACGUGAGUAACCUGCCCUUGACUUUGGGAUAACUUCAGGAAACUGGGGCUAAUACCGGAUAGGAGCUCCUGCUGCAUGGUGGGGGCUGGAAAGUUUCGGCGGUUGGGGAUGGACUCGCGGCUUAUCAGCUUGUUGGUGGGGUAGUGGCUUACCAAGGCUUUGACGGGUAGCCGGCCUGAGAGGGUGACCGGCCACAUUGGGACUGAGGUACGGCCCAGACUCCUACGGGAGGCAGCAGUGGGGAAUAUUGCACAAUGGGCGGAAGCCUGAUGCAGCAACGCCGCGUGCGGGAUGACGGCCUUCGGGUUGUAAACCGCUUUCGCCUGUGACGAAGCGUGAGUGACGGUAAUGGGUAAAGAAGCACCGGCUAACUACGUG